AUUGAACGCUGGCGGCAUGCCUAACACAUGCAAGUCGAACGCCCCGCAAGGGGAGUGGCAGACGGGUGAGUAACGCGUGGGAAUUUCCCCCAAGGUUCGGAAUAACUGAGGGAAUCUUCAGCUAAUACCGAAUGGUACCGAGAGGUUAAAGAUUUAUCGCCUUGGGAUGAGCCCGCGUUGGAUUAGCUAGUUGGUGAGGUAACGGCUCACCAAGGCUGUGAUCCAUAGCUGGUCUGAGAGGACGACCAGCCACACUGGGACUGAGACACGGCCCAGACUCCUACGGGAGGCAGCAGUGGGGAAUCUUGGACAAUGGGCGCAAGCCUGAUCCAGCCAUGCCGCGUGGGCGAUGAAGGUCUUCGGAUUGUAAAGCCCUUUUGGCGGGGACGAUAAUGACGGUACCCGCAGAAUAAGCUCCGGCCAACUUCGUGCCAGCCGCCGCCGUAACAC
rnacentral:rRNA from 1 species